rnacentral:rRNA from 1 species
UUGAAGAUUAAGCCAUGCAUGUCUAAGUAUGAACUGGUUUAAGGUGAAACUGCGUACGGCUCAUUACAUCAGCUAUAACUUUCUUUGAUCAUAAAUUCUAAAUGGAAUAACCGAGGAAAAGCCUGGGCUAAUACAUGCGACAAUUCCGGUAGUAAUAUCGGAAUGCUUUUAUUAGAUCAAAACCUUCUAGUUCUUUCAUCGGAACUGUUUGUUGGUGACUCUAAAUAACUUUGUGUUGAUCGUAUGACCUUUGUGUCGACGACAUAUCUUUCAAGUGUCUGACUUAUCAACUUUAGACGGUACAUUAUAUGUCUACCGUGGUUGUAACGAGUACAGAGAAUCAGGGUUUGGUUCUGGAGAGGCCGCCUGAGAAACGGCGACCACUUCCAAGGAAGGCAGCAGGCGCGCAAAUUACCCACUCUCAAAACGAGGAGGUAGUGAAGAGAAAUAACGAUGUUAGUCUAAUUUAGGCUGACAAUCGGAAUGGGAACACUGUAAACAGGUUAUCGAUUAACAAUUGGAGGGCAAGUCUGGUGCCAGCAGCCGCGGUAAUUCCAGCUCCAAUAAGGAAAACUAAAGUUGCUGUGUUUAAAAAGCUCGUAGUUGAAUUUCGGGUAUUUGUUGCUAGCUGGUCUAACUGGCCAUGUUGGUUAACAGAUCCUCAUUUGCUGGACGGCUGGCGAUGAUCUUUAUCGAUUGUCGUUAGUUGCCAGAACGUUUACUUUGAGAAAAUUAGAGUGCUAAAAGCAGGCUCACGCCUAUAUAUAUUGCAUGGAAUAAUGAAAUAAGAUCUCGAUUUUAUUUCGUUGGUUUUAGAAAUUGAGAUAAUGAUUAAUAGGAUCAGAGGGGGGCGUACGUACUGUGGUGUGAGAGGUGAAAUUCUUGGAUCGCCACAGGACGAACAGCAGCGAAGGCGUUCGCCAAGAAUGUUUUCAUUAAUCAAGAACGAAAGUUUGAGGUUCGAAGACGAUUAGAUACCGUCCUAGUUCAAACCAUAAACGUUGCCAACUGUCUUUUAGAUGCGGUUACUUAUAUGACUCAUCUGGCGGAUCUCGAGAAAUCUAAGUUUUUAGGUUCCGGGGGAAGUAUGGUUGCAAAGCUGAAACUUAAAAGAAUUGACGGAAGGACACACAAGAAGUGGAGCCUGUGGCCUAAUUUGACCCAACACGGGAAACCUUACUCGGCCAGGACACUUUUAGGAUUGACAGAUUGAGAGCUCUUUCUUGAUUAGGUGGGUGGUGGUGCAUGGUCGUUCGUAGUUCGUGGAGCGAUUUGUCUGAUUAAUUUCGAUAACGAACGAGACUCCGGCUUACUAAAUAGUC